UACGUAGGGGGCAAGCGUUGUCCGGAUUUAUUGGGCGUAAAGAGCGUGUAGGCGGCCAGGUAGGUCUGCUGUGAAAACUCGAGGCUCAACCUCGAGACGUCGGCGGAAACCAUCUGGCUAGAGUCCGGAAGAGGAGAGUGGAAUUCCUGGUGUAGCGGUGAAAUGCGUAGAUAUCGAGAGGAACACCUGCGGCGAAGGCGGGUUGCUGGGCUGACACUGACGCUGAUGCGCGAAAGCUAGGGGAGCGAACGGG
rnacentral:rRNA from 1 species